AGGCUCUUGGAACAGAUUACCUGAUGACCAAAACAGGCCAUAUAUAAAUGACUGGAUCACUAACACCAGAGCACUGUAUUCUCAAAGCAACACUUCACUCAGUGACUCUGGCAUAUAAGAAUCUUCUACAGGAGCAGAUGAAGAGACCAGUGAUCCCGCAUUGAGACCACAAACACACACCAGUGAAGGCAGAAGAGUUCAGAAUUUGAAUGUACUGAAGAAUCCUGGUGUUUCCAGCAUCAAGCUCAAGUUAUCCAUGAUCAACCCAAAGAUCAGCAUACAGAGUCAGUCUUCAGU